AACCUUCAAACCGUUUGAGGGAGAAUACUCUAUGAUAUGAUUUGAAUCUCUGGCCAGAGUAUGAAUGAGAUUUGGGAAUGUGUUCCGAAUCACAUUCAAGGUAAUCAUAUAAGCACAAGACACACAUUGGAUAGUAGACAUGAGCAAAUGAACUAUCAAACCAAACAAUGUGGUCAAGAGUAUUAGAUUAGAGAAGGAUCGUAUUGCAUUUGUAAUCCCGAACUGAAUAGGUUCUCCACCUCUUCUGAUUAGCUUGGGUAACCAUAAUAUGCUGCUAGGUGUCACUCAUGGUUUGUGGAAGCCCUAAACGUGUGUAAUCACUAAAGGGAGAAUUGAAA
rnacentral:lncRNA from 1 species